rnacentral:rRNA from 1 species
UGAGCAAUCUGCCCUUCUCAUCGGAAUAACCAUUGGAAACGAUGGCUAAUGCCGAAUAUGACCUCGGAUCACAUGUUCUGAGGUGGAAAGCUCCGGCGGAGAAGGAUGAGCUCGCGGCCUAUCAGCUAGUUGGUGUGGGUAACGGCCCACCAAGGCGACGACGGGUAGCCGGCCUGAGAGGGUGACCGGCCACACUGGGACUGAGACACGGCCCAGACCUNUACGGGAGG